GAUGACCUCUAGCUACAGGCUUAACACAUGCAAGUCGAGGGGCAGCAUGAACUUAGCUUGCUAAGUUUGAUGGCGACCGGCGCACGGGUGAGUAACACGUAUCCAACCUGCCGAUGACUCGGGGAUAGCCUUUCAAAAAAAAGAUUAAUACCCGAUGGCAUACUUCUUCCGCAUGGAAAAACUAUUAAAGAAUUUCGGUCAUCGAUGGGGAUGCGUUCCAUUAGGUUGUUGGCGGGGUAACGGCCCACCAAGCCUUCGAUGGAUAGGGGUUCUGAGAGGAAGGUCCCCCACAUUGGAACUGAGACACGGUCCAAACUCCUACGGGAGGCAGCAGUGAGGAAUAUUGGUCAAUGGACGAGAGUCUGAACCAGCCAAGUAGCGUGAAGGAUGACUGCCCUAUGGGUUGUAAACUUCUUUUAUACGGGAAUAAAGUGAGGCACGCGUGCCUUUUUGUAUGUACCGUAUGAAUAAGGAUCGGCUAACUCCGUGCCAGCAGCCGCGGUAAUACGGAGGAUCCGAGCGUUAUCCGGAUUUAUUGGGUUUAAAGGGAGCGUAGGCGGACGCUUAAGUCAGUUGUGAAAGUUUGCGGCUCAACCGUAAAAUUGCAGUUGAUACUGGGUGUCCUGAGUACAGUAGAGGCAGGCGGAAUUCGUGGUGUAGCGGUGAAAUGCUUAGAUAUCACGAAGAACUCCGAUUGCGAAGGCAGCUUGCUGGACUGUAACUGACGCUGAUGCUCGAAAGUGUGGGCAUCAAACAGG
rnacentral:rRNA from 1 species